AACGCUUCUUUUCCCACCGGAGCUUGCUCCACCGGAAAAAGAGGAGUGGCGAACGGGUGAGUAACACGUGGGUAACCUGCCCAUCAGAAGGGGAUAACACUUGGAAACAGGUGCUAAUACCGUAUAACAAUCAAAACCGCAUGGUUUUGAUUUGAAAGGCGCUUUCGGGUGUCGCUGAUGGAUGGACCCGCGGUGCAUUAGCUAGUUGGUGAGGUAACGGCUCGCCAAGGCCACGAUGCAUAGCCGACCUGAGAGGGUGAUCGGCCACAUUGGGACUGAGACACGGCCCAAACUCCUACGGGAGGCAGCAGUAGGGGAUCUUCGGCAAUGGACGAAAGUCUGACCGAGCAACGCCGCGUGAGUGAAGAAGGUUUUCGGAUCGUAAAACUCUGUUGUUAGAGAAGAACAAGGAUGAGAGUAACUGUUCAUCCCUUGACGGUAUCUAACCAGAAAGCCACGGCUAACUACGUGCCAGCAGCCGCGGUAAUACGUAGGUGGCAAGCGUUGUCCGGAUUUAUUGGGCGUAAAGCGAGCGCAGGCGGUUUCUUAAGUCUGAUGUGAAAGCCCCCGGCUCAACCGGGGAGGGUCAUUGGAAACUGGGAGACUUGAGUGCAGAAGAGGAGAGUGGAAUUCCAUGUGUAGCGGUGAAAUGCGUAGAUAUAUGGAGGAACACCAGUGGCGAAGGCGGCUCUCUGGUCUGUAACUGAC
rnacentral:rRNA from 1 species